rnacentral:rRNA from 2 species
AAAAAAUGACUCUCGGCAACGGAUAUCUCGGCUCUCGCAUCGAUGAAGAACGUAGCGAAAUGCGAUACUUGGUGUGAAUUGCAGAAUCCCGUGAACCAUCGAGUCUUUGAACGCAAGUUGCGCCUGAAGCCGUCAGGCUGAGGGCACGUCUGCCUGGGCGUCACG